CGGGGAGGAAAUGACGGAAAGUGAUGAAAGUUGCUAACUGCUAUGCUGCUCUGUGCACUUGAAUUUGAUGCCAAAUACCAAGAAUCAAAGACAGAAUAGUGGAAGGCGGUAGGAGAAUGAGAGGUACCGGGUGCUGAUGGAUCACUUACCUCGCAGAUUCCCAUGUUUUGGAGAAAAUUGCUUGUAGACUUGGAGCAGAGACCUCUUCUGGGGGCCCUCUGAGUUGUGAAUUAAUCACUUGGAGCCCAGAGACACCAGGUUCUCGAAGAGCACGCUGGACCAGGAGGCAAACUCGGAAACCCUUCAUCUUCCCCCUCCUGUGUGCUCUCCAUCAUGUUCCGUGGUCAUUUGACACACUCCUCUCCCUGCAGACAGAACGUGGAGUUCUGUAGCAGUCCUUUGGGAAAGCCUGUGCUUGGUGGAGGCCCAGUCCCCUACAGAGGACGCAGGCGACGGGAACACGCCCAGUGGGAAAAUCUCACGGGGUUUCCCACUGUCACCUGAUUCUUGAUCUCGAUUAAAUCUCAAAGCCUGUGCUUUCCCAAUAAAUCAAAUUCAUGUC